UACGUAGGGUGCGAGCGUUGUCCGGAAUUAUUGGGCGUAAAGAGCUCGUAGGCGGCUCAGUAAGUCGGAUGUGAAAACUCGGGGCUCAACCCCGAGACGCCAUCCGAUACUGCUGUGGCUUGAGUCUGGUAGGGGAACACGGAAUUCCUGGUGUAGCGGUGAAAUGCGCAGAUAUCAGGAGGAACACCGAUGGCGAAGGCAGUGUUCUGGGCCAGUACUGACGCUGAGGAGCGAAAGCGUGGGUAGCAAACAGG
rnacentral:rRNA from 1 species